rnacentral:tRNA from 1 species
CGGGCAGUAGCGCAGUGGGUUAAGCGCAUGUGGCGCAAAAAGCAAGGACCGGCUUAAGGAUCCAGGUUCAAGCUCCUGGCUUCCCGC